rnacentral:rRNA from 1 species
UACAGAGACUGCAAGCGUUACUCGGAAUCACUGGGCGUAAAGGGAGCGCAGGCGGACUCGUGUGUCGGAUGUGAAACCCGGGGGCUCAACUCCCGGACUGCGUCUGAAACUGCGAUUCUAGGGACUCGGAGGGGCCGGUGGAAUUCCUGGUGGAGCAGUGAAAUGCGUAGAUAUCAGGAGGAACACCAACGGCGAAGGCAGCCGGCUGGACGAGAUCCGACGCUCAGGCUCGAAAGUAUGGGGAGCAAAAAGG